UCAGUGUGGAAAUUUUACUUUACAUAACAAUGGAAUUACAGAGGAUCAAUGUAUAUAUAUGGUGGCUUCGUGAUGGAAAAAAAAAAUUAAAUAAAUUGAAGUAAAAAAAGUGCAAGACAUGAAAAAACAAUCCGUCUAGUUAGUCUGGGUAGGAGUGGUCUUAUAAUUGACAAAAAUAACAUCUAUACCAAAACAAAGAACAUGCAGACAGAAAAACAUUUAAAUAAAAAUGCGACGCAAUUGGCGUUUUUUUUUAUUUGAUAAAUUUUUAUGUCCAUAAUUUCAAUUGGAAAAGAUUGAUUCAACGACCAAGGAAAUAAAAUAUUUGGAGUUGUCAA